GUUGUUACAAGAAAUUUGAUAAAUGGAUGUCUACUUAAAUUAUUACUGUUGGGAAAGGCCUGAUAUGGGCCUGAUAUGGGCUUCAAUAAUAAAAGGCCGUUUAGUUAAAUGAUAUAUGGGAAAAUGCAGUUUGCUGCUACAAACGAAGAGGCUGACGUCAAUUUCUCCAGACUUCCAAAGUGUAUUUUUGGUUUAAUUUUUUUUCUUAUAAUCCAACAAUAAACGUCGAAUUUCUUGAGCAUCUGACGUAUUGGUCCCUCUUUUUUUUUCUUUUUACUUUUUAAAUUCCCAUAGAACGUCUAUUCUUG
rnacentral:lncRNA from 1 species